GGUAACAUUCAUUAAUUAUCAAGGAGUAUUAAUUAGGAAAUUUAUUAAAAAGGAAUUAAACAAUUCAAUGACAAUCAUGUACGCUUUGGACAUUUAAUAACGAUCUGUUUUGUGUACCAUUCAUUAAUCAUCAGGAAGUUAUUAAUACGACAAAUCCGAAACGAAUAUAUAACCUUUAGACAUUAAUAACAAUCCGUGUGCAUAUUAUAGACAUAUAUAGCCUGAAGCCAAUAAAUGACCAAGGUUACUAUGAAAUAACAUGUAUCCUUCAGGGUUAAUUGCAUAGUUUGACAAUUAACCACAGAUUAAUAUUACUCAAAAACCAGACGACUACAUAACCGGCCUACAGCUAUGGACCGUUUGUAUGAACCACUGGACUAUGUAUCUCUCAAUGGACGACACGGACACAAUUCGAACAC
rnacentral:lncRNA from 1 species